GCCUCACGGAACGCCUAGACCAGGUCAC
rnacentral:sRNA from 1 species